UACGGGGGGGGGUAAGCGUUGUUCGGAAUUACUGGGCGUAAAGGGCUCGUAGGCGGCCAACUAAGUCAGACGUGAAAUCCCUCAGCUUAACUGGGGAACUGCGUCUGAUACUGGAUGGCUUGGAUUCGGGAGAGGAAUGCGGAAUUCCAGGUGUAGCGGUGAAAUGCGUAGAUAUCUGGAGGAACACCGGUGGCGAAGGCGGCAUCCUGGACCGGCAUUGACGCUGAGGCGCGAAAGCGUGGGGAGCAAACAGG
rnacentral:rRNA from 1 species